GACGUAGGGAGCGAGCGUUGUCCGGAUUUAUUGGGCGUAAAGAGCUCGUAGGUGGCUUGUCGCGUCGGUUGUGAAAACCUGCAGCUUAACUGUGGGCUUGCUGCCGAUACGGGCAGGCUAGAGGCAGGUAGGGGAGAGUGGAAUUCCUGGUGUAGCGGUGAAAUGCGCAGAUAUCAGGAGGAACACCGGUGGCGAAGGCGGCUCUCUGGACCUGUUCUGACGCUGAGGAGCGAAAGCGUGGGGAGCGAACAGG
rnacentral:rRNA from 2 species